rnacentral:rRNA from 1 species
CAAUAGCGUAUAUUAAAGUUGUUGCGGUUAAAAAGCUCGUAGUUGGAUUUCUGUUGGGAACGACCGGUCCGCCCAUUGGGUGUGUAUCUGGCUUGUUCUCGGCAUCUUCUUGGUGAACGUUGCUGCACUUGACUGUGUGGAGCGCUACCCAGGACUUUUACUUUGAGGAAAUUAGAGUGUUUCAAGCAGGCAUAUGCCUUGAAUACAUUAGCAUGGAAUAAUAAGAUAGGACCUCGGUUCUAUUUUGUUGGUUUCUAGAGCUGAGGUAAUGAUUAAUAGGGAUAGUUGGGGGCAUUCGUAUUUAACUGUCAGGGGUGAAAUUCUUGGAUUUGUUAAAGACGGACUACUGCGAAAGCAUUUGCCAAGGAUGUUUUCAUUGA